rnacentral:lncRNA from 1 species
GUUGCCUCUUCCCGGAGACAUCCUUUUUAACUGAGACAGAGCAGAGCCUUUAAUCCCAAGGGAAAAUGGUAGAAGCUUCCUGGGCAGAAAGACCCGGCGAGUCUAUGACCUGUUGCUUUGCAAGCUCAGCUUCCCCAGCCAGCUGCACUGCUUGCUUUUUUGACUUUGUCCCUCUCGAAGGGAACAUAGGACAAAUAAAUAAAAGUGCAUAUGUGCGUUUUUUUACUUUUCUGGAAUGCAGCCUUUGCUCUCUCCGAGAUGCCAGCCACGGCUAGUGCGAUUGUAUCUAAAUUUCCUGAGGGGUGUUUUUUGAUUAAGUAGGUAAUGUCAAACACCCCUUUAACUACAGCUAGAAAAUAAAACCAUUUUAUAAAGCCACCCUUGCAUCCCCUGCGAGCCUCACACAGAGCAUCUCUCCAAAUCCAGGUAUGCCAGCCACCUUGAAUAAAAUCUCUUCCGCUUCCGACGUAUGAAAAGCAAAAAUGAAAAGAGGGAAGGUUCCCAGUUACUCUUUUGUCUUCAGACAUUUAGUAAUAUAAAGUACCUAUUUUUAUGCUGAAAUGUUUAUACAGGUUUAUUAACAGCAAGCGCAACUAACUGGCGGCAUGCCGUGCAGCUCGUUUUGAUAUAUUAGCCAUGCUUGCAGAUAAAGGCAAGCCCCAAACUACUCACCUUUUGCAGUCUCUCUGGGAUCAGGAAAAGAAAAAGCAAUCACAUGUUUGAGAAGUGGGACUGUAAAUAUGUAAUGUAUAUUUAACUUUGUGUAGCCCAUGUACCUACCUUGUAUAGAAAAAUAAUUUUUAAAACCUGAGCAGAAAAGGAGUAAAAUGAGGGAGUCAUGAAGGGUCCCCCCCCACACUUUUAUUUAAAUGAAGGAAUUUCAAAUAAUUCACCUGCAGACUUUUAGCACAAAAAUAGUCCUUGGAAAUUGUUAACAUAUUCGGUUGUUCUUUGGGGAAGAGAAGACCACUAUAAUACCAUUUACUUUUCUUUUCGAGGUUCUAUUUAUCUGCAGUAGUAUUAAGUCAUAUUGCUGGAAUAGGUUACUACCCCCCC